rnacentral:rRNA from 1 species
UACGGGGGGGGGUAAGCUUGUUCGGAAUUACUGGGCGUAAAGGCUCGUAGGCGGCCAACUAAGUCAUACGUGAAAUCCCUCAGCUUAACUGGGGAACUGCGUGUGAUACUGGAUGGCUUGGAUUUGGGAGAGGGAUGCGGAAUUCCGGGUGUAGCGGUGAAAUGCGUAGAUAUCCGGAGGAACACCGGUGGCGAAGGCGGCUU